AUUCAGCCAUGCUAGUUGUACGGGUUUAGACCCGUAGCAAAUAGCUCCGUAACACGUGGUCAAACUACCCUCUGGACCGGAAUACCCUCGGGAAACUGAGGCUAAUUCCGGAUACUGCUUUCAUGUUGGAACACAGAAAGUCGGAAACGGUCCGCCGCCGGAGGACGUGACUGCGGCCGAUUAGGUAGACGGUGGGGUAACGGCCCACCGUGCCGAUAAUCGGUACGGGUUGUGAGAGCAAGAACCCGGAGACGGUAUCUGAGACAAGAUACCGGGCCCUACGGGGCGCAGCAGGCGCGAAACCUUUACACUGCACGCCAGUGCGAUAAGGGGACCCCGAGUGCGAGGGCAUACAGUCCUCGCUUUUCGUGACCGUAAGAAGGUCUCAGAAUAAGAGCUGGGCAAGACCGGUGCCAGCCGCCGCGGUAAUACCGGCAGCUCGAGUGAUAGCCACUAUUAUUGGGCCUAAAGCGUCCGUAGCCGGCCGAACAGGUCCGUCGGGAAAUCCACCUGCUCAACGGGUGGACGUCCGGCGGAAACCAGUCGGCUUGGGGCCGGGAGACCAGAGAGGUACGUCCGGGGUAGGAGUGAAAUCCUGUAAUCCUGGACGGACCGCCGGUAGCGAAAGCGUC
rnacentral:rRNA from 1 species